UACGUAGGGUGCGAGCGUUAAUCGGAAUUACUGGGCGUAAAGGGUGCGCAGGCGGCGUCGCAAGUCAGGCGUGAAAUCCCCGGGCUUAACCUGGGAACUGCACUUGAAACUACGAUGCUGGAGUAUGGCAGAGGGAGGUGGAAUUCCACGUGUAGCGGUGAAAUGCGUAGAGAUGUGGAGGAACACCGAUGGCGAAGGCGGGUCUCUGGGCAGUAACUGACGCUGAGGCGCGAAAGCGUGGGGAGCAAACAGG
rnacentral:rRNA from 1 species